AGCAAAGGAAACACCCAGAAUCAACAUUCAACAUUGCUCUUAAAGUACAUUACAGCCUUCCUGAAGAGGUGUGAUUCCACUUCAUUCAUGCAGGUGUAUCCCAGGAGAAGAGAAAUAGAAAUAUGUUUUGUGGAAUCAGUAAAAGGAAGAGUGGACCACAGUUUGGAUUUUGUUUCCAAACUGAGAAAAUUUUGUGAAGACAGAAAAUUCUUGUGGAUGAGAAGUGUUAGAGUACCAUCUUGCUGGAGUCAUAUUUACAAUCAGCUGCAAGUUAGUUCAUUUUCCACAUCCCUGAAUGUUCCUUCUGUAAGUGCCAAGAGGAAAUGCUUUUCAUGAUGAGUCUUUUCUACACCAAAAUGUCAGUAAAAAUGAUAAUUUUCUAUAAAGUCCGGCCA
rnacentral:lncRNA from 1 species